rnacentral:rRNA from 1 species
CCUACGGGGCGCAGCAGUGGGGAAUAUUGGACAAUGGGCGAAAGCCUGAUCCAGCCAUGCCGCGUGUGUGAAGAAGGCCUUCGGGUUGUAAAGCACUUUCAGUGGGGAAGAAAGCCUUGGGGCUAAUACCCUCGAGGAAGGACAUCACCCACAGAAGAAGCACCGGCUAACUCCGUGCCAGCAGCCGCGGUAAUACGGAGGGUGCGAGCGUUAAUCGGAAUUACUGGGCGUAAAGCGCGCGUAGGCGGUCUGAUAAGCCGGUUGUGAAAGCCCCGGGCUCAACCUGGGAACGGCAUCCGGAACUGUCAGGCUAGAGUGCAGGAGAGGAAGGCAGAAUUCCCGGUGUAGCGGUGAAAUGCGUAGAGAUCGGGAGGAAUACCAGUGGCGAAGGCGGCCUUCUGGACUGACACUGACGCUGAGGUGCGAAAGCGUGGGUAGCAAACAGGAUUAGAUACCCUUGUAGUC